rnacentral:rRNA from 1 species
CCUACGGGGGGCUGCAGUGAGGAAUAUUGGUCAAUGGGCGAGAGCCUGAACCAGCCAAGUCGCGUGAGGGAAGACGGUCCUAUGGAUUGUAAACCUCUUUUGUCGGGGAGCAAAAAGGCCUCGUGAGGCCACAAGUGAGAGUACCCGAAGAAAAAGCAUCGGCUAACUCCGUGCCAGCAGCCGCGGUAAUACGGAGGAUGCGAGCGUUAUCCGGAUUUACUGGGUGUAAAGGGAGCGUAGGCGGGCGAGAAAGUUGAAUGUUAAAUCUACGGGCUUAACUGGUAGCUGCGUUCAAAACUUCUUGUCUUGAGUGAGGUAGAGGCAGGCGGAAUUCCUGGUGUAGCGGUGAAAGGCGUAGAUAUUAGGAGGAACACCAGUGGCGAAGGCGGCCUGCUGGGCUUUAACUGACGCUGAGGCUCGAAAGCGUGGGGAGCAAACAGGAUUAGAUACCCGGGUAGUC